UACAGAGGGUGCGAGCGUUAAUCGGAAUUACUGGGCGUAAAGAGUGCGUAGGUGGUUUAAUAAGUUAGGUGUGAAAUCCCUGGGCUCAACCUAGGAACUGCAUCUAAUACUGUUAGGCUAGAGUACAGUAGAGGAAAGUGGAAUUUCCGGUGUAGCGGUGAAAUGCGUAGAGAUCGGAAGGAACAUCAGUGGCGAAGGCGGUUCUCUGGGCCUGUACUGACGCUGAGGAGCGAAAGCGUGGGGAGCGAACAGG
rnacentral:rRNA from 1 species